GUGAGUCAUCGAAUCUUUGAACGCACAUUGCGCCCGCUAGUAUUCUGGCGGGCAUGCCUGUCUGAGCGUCAUUUCAACCAUCGCGCCCGGCUUCUUGCUGGAUGCGGUGUUUGGGGAUCGGCCUGCCGUCUGACGGCGCCGGCCCCGAAACCAUAGUGGCGACCACGCCGUAGCCUCCUCUGCGUAGUAACAUACCACCUCGCAGGCGGAGAGCGGUGCGGUCACGCCGUAAAACCCCCCAACUAUACCAAGGUUGACCUCAGAUCAGGUAGGAAUACCCGCUGAACUUAAGCAUAUCAAUAAGCGGAGG
rnacentral:rRNA from 1 species